rnacentral:lncRNA from 1 species
GGUCCCAUGUAGAAAAUACUUUGAGGAAUAGCCUGAAUUACAUUGGGAAUUACAGAAUCAUGUUAAGAUUCGAACAGGAAUAGGAUAAAAGCACUCUUUUAGCGUCUGACUGAAGACAUUAAACUUAGCGCUUAUUGAGAGGCAAUCCAAUUUCUUAGGAGUAACCUCAAUAAAAAUCGUAGUCGUAAUAAAAAUCUGGCUGAAGACAUUAAACUUAGUGCUUACUGGGAGGCAAUCCAGAUCUUUGCAGUUUAAUUUCAUUUCUCUCUUUAGUUUGUUUAGGUUGCUUCAGUGAAUAAGUUGGGGGGAAGAGCUAAAUAUGCAUCCUCAAAGGCAUUUGAAGACUUCGUUGAUCCAAGAACACAUCAAAUCAGGUGUAUUCUUUCCUAUCCCUUUCUACCUAUUACACCCUCUAUUUUUUUUUUCUCCAUUGAGAACAACGUUGAUUAAGUUAGAGGGAGAAUAAUAAUUAAAAAAAAAUUAAAAUCCUCGAGUAAGUGAGCAUUUAGCAUUUAGACAUCCGAUUACGCUUAAAGAAUCAAGCUGAACUAAACAAAUUUUUUUAAACAAAUUGAUGUGCAGAUUAGAGAGUUAUGAGAUAUCGAAGAAUCAAGUAUUAAGAAAAUCUAAUAAAGAGUUAAGUCCAGAACUUAAACAUUUUUUUCAUGAGCACUUUUAAAUUCCUCCUACCUUCAUCAAAGAAGAGUUUACUUCUUAUGGGCAAAUGUAGAAUAACUAUAUGUUUCUUCAUAAAAUAAAUUAUUUUAUAAAAUAAAAUAGUUUUCAAGUACUUCUUACUUGGUAACCAGUCCCUUUGCCCAAACAAGCAUUGAGGUUCGCGUUGAAAAGUGAGAAGGACAAAGAAGCUCGUUGUAAGGUUAGUCUUAACUCGUAGUCUGCUUGAUUCGAGCAAGUAAGUCCGAGGGGUAUUUGAUAUCUAGUGCUCUAAAAUCAUCUGAUUUGGGAAUCAUUGGUUGAAAACUUGCUAC